CUGAUUAAAAUUUUUGUAGCCCAGCUUAAUUUAGUCAAAUGGAUCACUAGCUUAUUAGCCCAUUUGAAAAACCGAAGCCCCAUUUUUCAGUUUCAUCAAAGUCUUUUUCGCAGGCCGCAACUUCUCAUAAUUUGCUGAUAGCAAAACUUCUCAGUGGUUGAAACUUUCUUCAUUGUCCAACGCCGCAUUCUUAUCUUCAGCUUUACUUUGGAGUGGUGCGGCAUCACAGAGAUUUUUUUACCUCCGCCUUGUCUUUGAGAAUUCGAGGCCCUCUCUGCAAGUUCAAUCGACUUGCUUAAGGAUUGGGUUUAAAGGUUAUGCUAAUAGUCAUGAAGUUGUUUCAACAAGUACCGAGGUUCCAUAUAUUGAUAGGAGAACACCAAAUACUUAAUUGGAUAUUUUUUGACAAGU
rnacentral:lncRNA from 1 species